AGCCACACUCGGAUUGGAGGAUUUUUGCGAACUGCGGAUGUUAUAAAUAGUUAAUUAUGUUCGUAAAUCCAAGAUUUACCGAGCUGAACUGCGUGUUUGUGUUGCGUCUAUGUAUGAGAUAAUUUACAUGCCGCGUGCCGCUCCUGAAAUUCGCCAUAGUGUAAGAAGUUAUGAAGUUCGCAUAAUUCGGGGUGUAUGUUACAGUUUUACUAAGAGGUGUAACUGAUUGUCGUUGGAUAACUUUAGAUAUGAAGCACAAUUGGAAAUGGAAUAUCUACUAUGAGCUAGGAAAACUUUGAAUGGGUAUGGGCGCAAGGGACUGGAAGGAUUGGAGACCUUUCGUAUAUGGGGGAUUAGCAUCAAUUGUUGCAGAAUUUGGCACAUUUCCAUUGGAUACAACAAAGACUCGUCUUCAGGUACAGGGACAAAAACUGGACCACAAUCAUGCCUCUUUAAGAUACUCUGGCAUGACAGAUGCAUUGGUGCAAAUCUCAAGACAGGAAGGAUACAGAGCUUUAUAUUCUGGGAUCAGCUCUGCUGUUCUGAGACAAGCCACAUACGGUACAAUUAAAUUUGGGACUUAUUACUCGCUUAAAAGAGCAGCAACAGAUAAAUGGGGGGCUGAUGACCUAGUCCUGAUAAAUAUAGUUUGUGCAGCAGUAGCGGGUGCCUUUUCAAGCGCAAUUGCCAACCCAACAGACGUGGUAAAAGUUCGUAUGCAAGUCAGAGGCGUUGAAGCAAAUGUGUCCUUGUUCAGUUGCUUUCAAGAUGUUUACCACAAUGAAGGUGUUCGUGGCUUGUGGAAGGGAGUCGGACCAACCGCUCAACGAGCGGCAAUCAUUGCAGCUGUGGAAUUGCCGAUAUACGACUACAGUAAACAGAAGUUAUUGAACACGCUUGGAGAUAGCGUGGCAAAUCACUUUGUGUCAAGUUUUAUUGCCAGUAUGGGCAGUGCGGUAGCUUCAACUCCAAUUGAUGUUGUGCGAACGCGCUUAAUGAAUCAAAGAAGGGUUCGUUUGGCUUGUGGCGGUCUUUCAGCCAGUAUUUACUCGGGUAGCAUGGACUGCUUUGUUCAGACUGUGAAGAACGAAGGUUUCUUUGCCUUGUACAAAGGUUUUAUUCCAACCUGGUUCAGGAUGGGUCCUUGGAAUAUAAUCUUUUUCAUAACAUAUGAACAGUUGAAACGUUAUUGAGUACAACGUGCAGACUAAUAGAGUUUCAGCGCCUGUAGUCAGUAUUGAACUCUACCGCAAAUUUAGUAAUCAUCCAUCCAAACAUAGUUUUAUCAAUUUACGGCUUAUGUUGCUGGUUAUCAACACCGAUAAGGAUGUACAGAUCAGGGUGUCUGUAUUGGCACAUAAGGACAAAUACUCAGUCUCUUUCUUUGUGAAUGCUACAUUCGUAGUAUGUUUUUAAAUGCUUGACAGAUAGAAACUGCGUUUCGCUUAUAGAAAUUUUUGUCCAAUGAAAGGCGAUAUCAUUUUUAAUUGAAUUAGCAAAUUGGCUCGUCAGUAAUAUUUAUUAUUAUUAUUAUAAGUUGCUAUGUGAAUGACGCUAUUCAAUAGUUUUACGUAUAUACCUUUAAGACGUACUUAUAAAUACAAGUCGAAACGUGAUAACUACUUAUUGAGCUAUUAAUUAUUAUACGCAUAUACGACAAAUAGAUCUUACGAAUAUACGGCCAUAGUUAGAAAUAAAAAAUAUUCAACUACACAUAUCACAAAAGAAAGUAGUAGAUUAUCGCAUUUCAGAGUAAAAAUAUUCUCAAUUUGCAUUCUGAUUCUCAUUUGACGAUGAGUCUUUGUAUUUACAUGUAAAAAUGACAAUCUGUCUCAUAGAACAUACCAAAUAUUAGAAUAUUUAAAUACUCUGGGUUACACGCGUUACGAAAAGAGUAUUGUUCAAUGGUUUUUAAAAGUGUGAUGCAAUUCGGAUAAACAUGUUUCUUGCAGACAUACCAAAGUAUUUCUGAAAAUUAUAGUUACAAUAUGAAAUAUUACUCGGAAGAAAAAAACAAAAAAAUGUAUUCCAACAGUGCUGGUUCUUCUAUCUUUGUAUCGAUUAAAUUCAGCACAUACUAUUUCUGAAGUAAUUGCAAUAAGAUGAAAUCAGUAAUCAGCAUUUGCGCCUUUAUAUUAUGAUGCUUGAGAGUCUAUAUUGUAAUCUUAGGUGGUUGAUGUUUAAUCAUUUCUUUGAAGCAGUACAAAUUAGUGUAGGAAAAUCGAGUACGUGUAUUAUUUAUUUGCUUCAUAACGAAAUUGUCUAUACUUGUGGCAACUAGGUACAUCGAUACGAGUUGUUACCGUGAUAAUAUCUUACUGGUAUUGAAGAAGCAUGACAAAACAUUAUGUUAUAGUAUUUAUAAAUCGUAAAACUAUUGAGUGCUGCAAUAGACAUGAGAAACCAAUCUUGAAAUAAAUCAACUGUUUUUGAUGUUUCU